AUAUAUAUAUAUAUAUAUAGGGCAGGAAGGGAUUUACAGAUUACUGUAAUGAUGUAACCCCAUGAAGGCGAACAUAAUUUACAGUUCCCAAGGAAAAUAAAUCUGGAAACAGAAGAAAAUGUG